rnacentral:tRNA from 1 species
CCUGGUGGCUUAGAUGGUAAAGCGUCUGCCUACAAUGCAGGAGGCCCAGGUUCAAACCCUGGGUCAGGA